rnacentral:rRNA from 1 species
UACGAAGGGGGCUAGCGUUGCUCGGAAUCACUGGGCGUAAAGGGUGCGUAGGCGGGUCUUUAAGUCAGGGGUGAAAUCCUGGAGCUCAACUCCAGAACUGCCUUUGAUACUGAGGAUCUUGAGUUCGGGAGAGGUGGGUGGAACUGCGAGUGUAGAGGUGAAAUUCGUAGAUAUUCGCAAGAACACCAGUGGCGAAGGCGGCUCACUGGCCCGGUACUGACGCUGAGGUGCGAAAGCGUGGGGAGCAAACAGG